rnacentral:rRNA from 1 species
ACACCCGUUCCCAUUCCGAACACGAAGGUUAAGCUUCAAAGCGCCGAUGGUACUGCACUGGUGACGGUGUGGAAGAGUAGGUCGCCGCCGGGU